AUUGAACGCUGGCGGCAGGCCUAACACAUGCAAGUCGAGCGGAUGAAGGGAGCCUGCUCCUGGAUUCAGCGGCGGACGGGUGAGUAAUGCCUAGGAAUCUGCCUGGUAGUGGGGGAUAACGUCCGGAAACGGGCGCUAAUACCGCAUACGUCCUGAGGGAGAAAGUGGGGGAUCUUCGGACCUCACGCUAUCAGAUGAGCCUAGGUCGGAUUAGCUAGUUGGUGGGGUAAAGGCCUACCAAGGCGACGAUCCGUAACUGGUCUGAGAGGAUGAUCAGUCACACUGGAACUGAGACACGGUCCAGACUCCUACGGGAGGCAGCAGUGGGGAAUAUUGGACAGUGGGCGAAAGCCUGAUCCAGCCAUGCCGCGUGUGUGAAGAAGGUCUUCGGAUUGUAAAGCACUUUAAGUUGGGAGGAAGGGCAGUAAGUUAAUACCUUGCUGUUUUGACGUUACCAACAGAAUAAGCACCGGCUAACUUCGUG
rnacentral:rRNA from 1 species